AAGUCGUAACAAGGUUUCCGUAGGUGAACCUGCGGAAGGAUCAUUAACGUAUCUACGACGGGGAUCGCGUGCCCUGCUCCGGCCCAAAGCCGUGCAGCGGGUGGCGUCCCCGCUCGACCUUCACAAACCCCACUGUGCACCUUUUACGGUGGAGGGUGCCGGCGAGAGCUGGGCCCAAUGCCGCAUAACCCAAACUCAUGUUUGAAAGAAUGACCAGCGGCCUCUGCGUCGCCUAACAAAUGUAACAACUUUCAACAACGGAUCUCUUGGCUCUC
rnacentral:misc_RNA from 1 species